rnacentral:rRNA from 1 species
AGAGUUUGAUCCUGGCUCAGGACGAACGCUGGCGGCGUGCCUAACACAUGCAAGUCGAACGAUCCCUUCGGGGAUAGUGGCGGACGGGUGAGUAACGCGUGAACAAUCUGCCCCGUACAAAGGAAUAGCCUCGGGAAACCGGGAUUAAAACCCUAUGAUACUUUAAUACCGCAUGGUAAUGAAGUCAAAUAUUAAUAGGUAUGGGAUGAGUUCGCGUCUGAUUAGCUGGUUGGUAAGGUAAUGGCUUACCAAGGCGACGAUCAGUAGCCGGCCUGAGAGGGUGAACGGCCACACUGGAACUGAGACACGGUCCAGACUCCUACGGGAGGCAGCAGUGGGGAAUAUUGGGCAAUGGGGGGAACCCUGACCCAGCAACGCCGCGUGAGGGAAGAAGGUCUUCGGAUUGUAAACCUCUGUUCCUGGAGAAGAGCAGAAGACGGUAUCCAGGGAGGAAGCCCCGGCUAACUACGUGCCAGCAGCCGCGGUAAUACGUAGGGGGCGAGCGUUGUCCGGAAUAAUUGGGCGUAAAGGGCGCGUAGGCGGCUCUGCAAGUCAGUAGUGGAAGUCCCAUUUUCAAGGUGGGGAGGGCUAUUGAAACUGCGGAGCUUGAGUGCAGGAGAGGUUAUCGGAAUUCCCGGUGUAGCGGUGAAAUGCGUAGAGAUCGGGAGGAACACCAGUGGCGAAGGCGGGUAACUGGACUGCAACUGACGCUGAGGCGCGAAAGUGUGGGGAGCAAACAGAAGUAGAUACCCUGGUAGUCCACACUGUAGACGAUGAAUGCUAGGUGUAGGGGGUAUCGACCCCUUCUGUGCCGGAGUAAACACAAUAAGCAUUCCGCCUGGGGAGUACGGUCGCAAGAUUAAAACUCAAAGGAAUUGACGGGGGCCCGCACAAGCAGCGGAGCAUGUGGUUUAAUUCGAAGCAACGCGAAGAACCUUACCUGGUCUUGACAUCCCCCUGACCGGUCCGUAAUGGGGCCUUCUCUUCGGAGCAGGGGAGACAGGUGGUGCAUGGUUGUCGUCAGCUCGUGUCGUGAGAUGUUGGGUUAAGUCCCGCAACGAGCGCAACCCUUAUCUUUAGUAGCCAGCAGUAAGAUGGGAACUCUAGAGAGACUGCCGGGGAUAACCCGGAGGAAGGUGGGGAUGACGUCAGAUCAUCAUGCCCCUUAUGACCAGGGCUACACACGUGCUACAAUGGCGUAAACAAAGGGAAGCGAGAGUGUGAGCUUAAGCAAAUCCCAAAAAUAACGUCCCAGUUCGGAUUGUAGUCUGCAACUCGACUACAUGAAGCUGGAAUCGCUAGUAAUCGCAGAUCAGAAUGCUGCGGUGAAAAAAGUCCCGGGUCUUGCUCUCUCCGCCCGUCA